rnacentral:pre_miRNA from 1 species
UCUUUGGUGAUUUUAGCUGUAUGGUGUGCGCGUAUUCCAUAGAGCUUUAUUACCAAAAACC